GCCGGUGGGUACAGGGAUGAUGGAGACGGUCCCGACGGAUACAGAGGGGUGGCUGAUGGCGCCGCGGGGUAGAGAGGCUGCGGCGAAGGCCCCGGCUGAUACAGAAUGGGCAUCUGCCCAGAGAAGCCCGACGGGAAAGAAUUAAAGAACAGAGUGACAAACUGGAAGGAGACCUAGAAUACAGAAUGUCAGUGGAUUCCAGCGGUCUUCAUCUUCAGAUGGAGCCUCAGAAAGUGAAAAGACUCACCGAGGGUCACACAGGCAGUAAGGACAGAGCUGGGAUUUGAACACAGAUCUUCUGGCAGCAAAAUCCACACUCUUACUCAUUAGUGGCAAAUGUGUGAAAGCAUAGCUCCAGCCAUGUAUUUCUUUAUACAGAUACAACUUGUUUGUA